UACGUAGGGAGCAAGCGUUGUCCGGAUUCACUGGGUGUAAAGGGUGCGCACGCGGAUUUGUAAGUCAGAGGUGAAAUCUCACGGCUUAACCGUGAAACUGCCUUUGAUACUGCAGAUCUUGAGUUUGGGAGAGGUUGAUGGAAUUCCAGGUGUAGCGGUGAAAUGCGUAGAUAUCUGGAAGAACACCAGUGGCGAAGGCGGUCAACUGGCCCAUAACUGACGCUCAGGCACGAAAGCGUGGGGAGCAAACAGG
rnacentral:rRNA from 1 species